CCAAUAGCGUAUAUUAAAGUUGUUGCAGUUAAAAAGCUCGUAGUUGAAUUUCGGGGUUAGUAGGUUGGUCAUGCCUCUGGUAUGUACUGGUCUCACUGAUUCCUCCUUCCUGAUGAGCUGUAAUGCCAUUAAUUUGGUGUUGCAGGGAAUCUGGACUGUUACUUUGAAAAAAUUAGAGUGUUUAAAGCAGGCUAACGCUUGAAUACAUUAGCAUGGAAUAAUGAAAUAGGACGUUCGAUCCUAUUUUGUUGGUUUCUAGGAUUGACGUAAUGAUUAAUAGGGAUAGUUGGGGGCAUUAGUAUUCAAUUGUCAGAGGUGAAAUUCUUGGAUUUAUUGAAGACUAACUACUGCGAAAGCAUUUGCCAAGGAUGUUUUCAUUAAUCAAGAACGAAAGUUAGGGGAUCGAAGACGAUCAGAUACCGUCGUAGUCUUAACCAUAAACUAUGCCGACUAGGGAUCGGAUGAUGUUAAUUUUUUAAUGACUCAUUCGGCGCCUUACG
rnacentral:rRNA from 1 species